GGGGUAGUAGUUUAAUGGUAGAACAUGAUGUUACGGCCAUUAAAGUUGUAGUUCGAAUCUACAGUACCUCU
rnacentral:tRNA from 1 species